GCCUGGAGCUCUGCCAGGAUGCAUGCACAGUGUGGUAUUACCUGGAGGCCGCCAUGACACGGGCACACGUGGUGAAAAGGAGAAGAGAGUGGGAAACGCCAUAUUGAAUGUACUUGGCUUUCAGUUUUCCAUGUAACCUCAUUCUUCUGGACAUGGGACAAAAUCCUGGGACUCACCAAACAGCCAGUGUGAAAGAAGCUGUAAAGCUGUAGUCCUCCCGUACUCUGUUGGCAACAGGUGGCUGCCCCACAAGACAGGAAGUGGCGGUGGCUCUUGGCCAGCCCAGGUGCUGCAGGCCUAGUGGGGCAAUGGGAUCGAACAAGCUGGAACAUGCCCCUGUUUGCCAAAGAAAGGCUGUGGAUGGCAGGAACGAACGAACUGCAACAUGAACGAGCUGCAGCCCUUCUGGGGCCCACACCUCGGGACUGCCCUAGCUAGAACUGUAACACGCUGUAACACCCUCUUUGGGGCUCUGGGGUGGCUGGCAUAUCUCAGUUUUUUGGGUUCCACCGCAUUCGCCUCGUUUAGAUGCUGGCGCCUAAAGCAGAAGCUGCUUUGCAGUACACCUGGUUCAGCUACAGCCUUGCACAGAGCUGGUGACUGGAGCAGCCACACCACCACAGCAGUUGGCACAACUGGCUGGGCACCAUGGCUGAACCCUGCACUGAAUCACUCUCACACCCCUCACUGCUCCACGCCAGGGUUGUCUGUGGUGGAUGUGAGAUCUGGGCCAGCGAGCCUGGAGCUGAGCACAGCCUGCUGGUCAGAUUGGGUGGUCAUGAGCGAAACUCUAGCAGAGGCACCCCUGGUCACGGAGGUCUCCAGCUGGUGAAGCACCACCUGAAAGAAUCCUAUGUAAUUUAGACUAAGGCAUUACCAGAAUGGCAUUCUUGAAGAAGUUAAAAAAGGUAGUAUAAUGAAAGCAGCACUGCUUUGUAGCCAAGAGAUUAUCAUUUUAAUCCUUCCUGUAAAAUUUUUUACCCUACCCAUGUUCUUUUACUUCCCCUGUCUCUCACUGACUUAUCCAUGAAAUUAGGGGUUGACAGAAGAUAAUCCCUGUGGUCCCAUACAGCUCUAAUUGUCUAUGAUUCCAUGAAUUUCUGGACUAGGACACUUGUCUGUAACUAUUACAUUGUUUCUCCUUCAAGUAAUGAAAAUAUCUGUAAUUAGAAUCCAUCAUUUUUUAAAUGUUUCUUGUAUAAUUAUAUUCAAUGCUAAAAAUAAAAAUACAUACAUAUAUGAAC
rnacentral:lncRNA from 10 species